rnacentral:tRNA from 1 species
GCGGACGUGGCGGAAUCGGCAGACGCGCUAGAUUCAGGAUCUAGUGGUCAUUAGACCGUGGAGGUUCAAGUCCUCUCGUCCGCA